UCGGCACCCCUCCACCAGCCUACACUGGCCGUUCGCCACCCUCCCUCUCUCUUCCUCCCUCUCCCUCCCUCCCCCUCUCUUUUCCUCCUCCCUCUCCCCCUCCUUCGUCAGUUUCUCGAUUUGAAGGCCGGAAAUAUCCUGGUCCACUGCCAAUACGGCUCGGUAUGCUCCGAAUCGGGCGAUUCAGGACAGUUCCACUGAUGCUGGUAAAAACAAUACCGACUAAUGACAAGUCCUCAUAACUAUCAUAUUACAAUUUUCCACCUUUUAGAUAUGGUCAGUGAGAAGCUAUACUCACUAGAAAUAUAUUAAGUAAUCUAGUGUUUUGGAUACUUAGCCCAAACAUGCUAAAAGUUUGCUAGAUCUGUUGACAAGAAGAGCAUCAAAUUUCACAUGCAAGAAUGCUGGUGAUUCUAUAAAUUCCACCCUCUCAACCUGAAUCUCAUAUAAUCAUGUGUAUAUGAUACACAAAGUCCUAGAAAAGCAAACUCUCCUCCUAUUAGGCUGAAAAUUCCACUAGUGAGCGGACGUGAAUAAAGUUUCUUGAUGUUUUGUUGAAAGAUGGGCAAAGGCAUGGAUUCAUUGCCUACCACCUAUUUAAAAUAUUACAAGAAAAAGGCAAAAAGGUACCCGAACACCCAGAAAGGUCCAUAGACCCUUAGGAACCUCAACAAAGUGACUAGCAAAGCAUAAGGUUCUUGGAUUUUUUGAUGAUAGAUCCAAAGCAUAAGAAAAAUCAUGUGAAAAAGCAAGCUUAAAAGGAUAUUAUUGUUAAGUUUGACUAGACUUCUAAAACUUGAUCAAAGAUCUAGCAUUUGGUUCUAAUGUCCAAAAUCAUGCAAUUAUUUGUACAAACAGAUCUUACAACAUCUAUGUAAAACACUGAGAGUACAGACAUCAAAAAACAUGACAAUGCUGAGACCAUGAUGAUGAUGAUAAAAUUAUCCCUCCUCCUACCGGCAGUAUUUAUUCUCAAAGCCUAAUGUGCAUGCCUCUCAUAAAGAAAUGAAAAAGGAGCAAAGCAGGCACUGCAGAUGAAAAUCUGUUUGAUGCAUUUGCAUCAUUUUAUAAUACCUUAUUCCUCGCUUUCAGACUUAAGGUGUGGCAAGCCUUGAACGUACUUUGUAAAGUCUAAAGACACUAAACAAUGACUACUAGUGUAAUCUUUGUAAAGCAAAAUCUUCAAUACCAACAACAUGACAUUUUCAGGGAAUAAAUGCAUAAAAUCUGACUUUAGCAGAUAUUUGAAUUUUGACCUUCUAAUCAGAUCCCCCAACAACAUAUUACAACAUUCUUAAAAAGGCAACAGUGCCACAACAUGUAAUGAACAAUUAAGAACAUAAAGAUCACAAUGAAUGAUGCACCACUUAAAAAAAACUAUAUAAUAUACACUAUAGACAAUAUCAUAUGGAUUUCAGAAGUUAAAUAUAACAUUACAAUAACUCCAUAUAUAACAAAAGAAAUCUGUAAUAAUGACAAAGUUUUGAGAAUUGAAUCAAUAUAACAUACCAUUUUGCCUAGAUUCCAGCACUUCACCCUCCAGUGAUCCUAUCACUAGGCAAUUCAACACAAGUAGCUAACAUUUACAACAGAAAUUUGAAAUUUUCUGUAUAUUUCCCAUGAAACUUCAAACAACAGUUAUAUGCUAAUUUGAAAAAAAACAUUAUGGCUCAUCUACAACUGCAUAAACCUAGUUAACGACAAUUAGAAGUCUAUGUUAUCAUGAAUAAGAAACAGUCAAUAAAAUCUAGAGAGGCAUUAGUCAUAGAUAAUAAGAAGAUAUACAUGAAAAGAAUUCGUUCCAUAGAAUAGUGCAUUCAAAGUAUGUUGUCUAGCAAAUUGAAUGGGAAAGAUAAUGGAUGAAAGUUAGCCACCUUACUGCUUAUUAUUUUAAGACAUGGAAAGAAUAAGAAUGUUAGGUGUCUGAUUCAAACGGUUAGAGCACUGGGCAUUCACUAAGAGACUUGAUGAUUCCUUAAUACAUAGACAGCUAUGAAGGGGAAGGAAAUGAAAGAGAAUUCACUCAAUAUUUUGAACCUAAAGUUCCAUAUGGUUCCUUCUACCUAGCAGUGGUGUCUAAAAUGGCAGCCAUUGUGGACAGAAAGGUCAAGUUUAUCUCUGGAGGUGCAAAUAAACUAGAUGAGGUGUGAAUCUGACACAAUCCUUACUGGACCUAGUUUGCCUUUAGUUCUGAAUCUAGAUAAUUUAGUUAAAUGGUUCAAAUUCAAUUUGCAACUAAUUAGGUUGAUAUGGAAAAUCUAAAUUAAUGGAAAAAAACCCAACCAUUUUGAACUAGUUUGGUCCUAGCCAAGUAAUCUAUAGUGUUCAUGUCAAGUGCAGUUUUGCAGUUUAGCAAACAUAUGACCAAUGUGAUUGAAGAAUUGAAUCUAGGUUUGGAAGUCAUAUAGACAGCUAAUUAAUCCAUCUUUUUUUAAUCUAGGUCAAGUCUAAGUUAGAUCAGUUAUAGUUGAAUUUAGGGGUCUACCAAACCCAACCUCAACAACUCGGCAAGUAUUGGGAGUUGAACUCAUCAUAUACCAAGGUCAAACCUCUCAGUGGAACUAGGAUACGUCUCAUGGUAAAUAGAACCAACUAGACAGGUUAUAGUGGAAAGUGAAACUGCAUCACACAUUUUUGUUUUAUAAAAUAAAAAAAAAAAAAAGUCAUGGGGCUGCAUAAAGGGGCCUUUUAUAUUUAUAUCUCAUUUUUAGUGAACUGAAAUAAUAGAUAGUUCCAAUAGCAUACACUGCAUGAAAAAGGCGAUUCAAGUAGCUAAUCAAGAUACAAGGAGUGAAUCAGAGAGCAAGUUUUGCAUGUCUUCUAAAGUUUCAAAAUUUUUUAUAGCUAAACAAAGAUUUCCCCUCUACCCUCCAUGGGAAAAAAAGGACUCAACUAGCAAGCCUAUUUGUUUCUCUUGCUAGAAAAUAUACUAGAACUUGUACCCAUAUUUUCUUAACACUGGAAUUUCAUAAUGUAGUCCAUGUGAUCCUAAAACCAUGACCAUCUUGUUGACCUGCAAAAUCCUUGUAUUCAAAAGCUCAUGACCCUCAUCGUAUGUAAGUUAAAAUCCCCCAAUCAUUUAAAUACUGAAAUUCAAUAAUUAAGUCCAUCUAACCCUAAAGCCAACCAUAUUCCUGAGCUGCAAUAUCCUUGCAUUCAAAAGCUCAUGACCCUCAUCAUACGUAAUUUAAAAUCCUCAUCUCAAAGAUAACUUUUCCAUGUCGUUCAGACUGAUUGAGGUGCAGUUGGAUGCCUGACUAGGCGAUCCCCAUAAAACAUCCACAUUGGUGAAAUUCAGCUGAAAAGAAGAAAUCGAUGAGCCUGAUUAGCCCUGUAAUCCCAAGAGGAUAGCCAAAACUAUUUAAGAUGCCAAUCCUCGGUGCCCAGAAACCCAUGAAGUAGCAGGAUUGAUCCGACAACUUGGUUUUCCCAUUUUCUUCCUUCCCUUGGCUCCUCUCUCUAUCCGGUCCCCUCCUUGGGUUGAUAUUCAUCCAACAUGGAAGCCAAGCAUCAAAACAGGCCCUUAAUGAAUUUCAUAGCUAAUAUUUCCAUUCUAUAAUUUCUGGAUGUGUUCACAGCACCAUAAUUUAUCAUGACCAAAGGAAGAACGCACUCAUUGCUAUUUAUCACCUAUCAAAUUCCAAUUUUUAUUUAUGCAUUGGAGAAAACAAUUAUAAAAUUAAAGACUCCAUGUUUUCAGCUAUUAAAUUUUAGUUUUCUUGGUGAUCCUCUGAGAUCAUCAGCGUAUUUACCAUCCACAGACAAGCAAAUACACAGCAUCCUGCCGAGACCAUUAUAGGUCGAGUCACGGCAUCCGCAUGAUGUUAGGCAUGAACACUUCGAAAUCUAACCAAACGAUGAAAACAUUCAACCAUGAAAACGUUUUCUAUCCAAAAAGGGAGAGUCUGGGCGUGGUCGAACAGCCUAAAAAAAUUCACGUGACAAGCAUGGAGACAGAGAUUUUUGGGGGCAAAAAUAUAAACCCUAAACAUAGUCUAAAACGUCGCAGUCAUUUAGUAGUUCAUUUCAAGUAACGAAUUUUCAAAAUUCCAUGGGCAAAAAAAAAAAAUCAAACAGCGAGCUUAGAAUUUUAAAAAAUAAAACAGCAAUUCAAUGCAUCGAAGAUCAAAAGAGACAAAAAAUCAAGAAUUCAUAGUCUUGAUAACUUUAUGUGUACGAAUUGAAGGGAGAGAUAAAUUACAGAUAAGAAUAUGGAGGGCAGAAGAGAGAGUACCGCUCGGUGAGAGAGGAUCGCGUCAAAUCUCUUAUCUCCGGCGCGGAAGCGAAGAAACUAAAAGCGUGGUUCUGGGGCAGGGGAUUUUGGGGAAGAUUUGACGAUGGAUGGGAGCAUGGUAACCCCUUACCGGUACAUGUCACGAACCGAACCGGCAUGAUUCCAAAUCGGACCAGUUUGUACCGGAACUGGC
rnacentral:lncRNA from 1 species